rnacentral:miRNA from 1 species
GCCACUCCCACAAACGUCUACGACCGCGCCUACAUAGUUUUGCAUGUUUACAAUUCUAAUUUUGAACAGCCAAUCAGGUUCUUGGUAAUUGGCUGUUUAAAAUUACAAUUGUAAACGUGCAAAAGUAUGUAGGCGCGGUCGUAGACGUUUGUGGGAGUGGU